AUUGAACGCUGGCGGCAUGCUUUACACAUGCAAGUCGAACGGUAACAGGCCGCCAGGUGCUGACGAGUGGCGAACGGGGGAGUAAUGCAUCGGAACGUGCCCAGUCGUGGGGGAUAACUACUCGAAAGAGUAGCUAAUACCGCAUACGAUUUAUGGAUGAAAGCGGGGGAACGUAAGGCCUCGCGCGAUUGGUGCCGCCUAUGUCAGGUUAGGUAGUUGGUGGGGUAAAGUCUCCCCAAGCCAACGAUCUGUAGCUGGUCUGAGAGGACGACCAGCCACACUGGGACUGAGACACGACCCAGACUCCUACGGGAGGCAGCAGUGGGGAAUUUUGGACAAUGGGGGCAAGCCUGAUCCAGAAAUGCCGCGUGAAGGAAGAAGGCCUUCGGGUUGUAAACUGCUUUUGUACGGAACGAAACGGCUCUGGUUAAUACCCGGGGAUAAUGACGGUACCGUAAGAAUACGCACCGGCUAACUACGU
rnacentral:rRNA from 1 species